rnacentral:rRNA from 1 species
UACGUAGGGCGCAAGCGUUGUCCGGAAUUAUUGGGCGUAAAGAGCUCGUAGGCGGUUUGUCGCGUCUGCUGUGAAAACCUAAGGCUCAACCUUGGGCUUGCAGUGGGUACGGGCAGACUAGAGUGCGGUAGGGGUGACUGGAAUUCCUGGUGUAGCGGUGGAAUGCGCAGAUAUCAGGAGGAACACCGAGUGGCGAAGGCAGGUCACUGGGCCGGCAACUGA